AAGGAACUCGGCAAUCUAACCCCGUAACUUAGGGAUAAGGGGUGCCCCGUCGUAAGACGGGGUCGCAGAGAAAUGGGCCUACCGACUGUUUAGCAAAAACACAGCACUCUGCUAAGUCGUGAAGACGACGUAUAGGGUGUGACACGUGACCAAUGCCGAAAGAUUACGGUAAGGGGUCAGUCCCGCGAAAGCGGGACGAAGCUCCGAGCCCAAGUCCCGGUGAAUGUCGGCCGUAACUAUAACGGUCCUAAGGUAGCGAAAUUCCUUGUCGGGUAAGUUCCGACCUGCACGAAUCGUGUAACGAGUGGGCCGCUGUCUCGAAGAGGCGCUCGGCGAAGUUGUAUUGGCGGUGAAGAUGCCGCCUACCCGCAGUAGGACGGAAAGACCCCGUGCACCUUUACUGUAAGCUGUCGCUGGAUUUUCGUUCGGAAUACUUAGCGUAAGUGGGAGACGUUGAUCCUUGGGUUUCGGCCUAAGGGGAGUCGCCAAUGAAACACCACCUUUUCUUCAUGAAGAUUCUAACCCUUGCCCGUCAUCCGGGUGGGGGACCACGGCAGCGGGUCAGUUUGACUGGGGCGGUUUCCUCCUAAAGAGUAACGGAGGAGUGCUAUGGUUCUCUCAGCAUGGUUGGUAAUCAUGCGUCGAGCGUAUGGGUACAUGAGAGCCUGACUGCGAGACCUACAAGUCGAGCAGGGACGAAAGUCGGCCCAAGUGAUCCGGUGGUUGAAAGUGGAAUCGCCAUCGCUCAUCGGACAAAAGGUACGCCGGGGAUAACAGGCUGAUCGCGCCCAAGAGUUCAUAUCGACGGCGCGGUUUGGCACCUCGAUGUCGGCUCAUCGCAUCCUGGGGCUGGAGAAGGUCCCAAGGGUCCGGCUGUUCGCCGGUUAAAGCGGUACGCGAGCUGGGUUCAGAACGUCGUGAGACAGUUCGGUCCUUAUCCACUGUGGGCGUAGGAAAUGUGACGGGUUCAUUCCCUAGUACGAGAGGACCGGGAAUGACGUACCUCUGGUGUUCCGGUUGUCGCGUCUGCGGCAGCGCCGGGUAGCUAUGUACGGAAGGGAUAAGCGCUGAAAGCAUCUAAGCGCCAAGCCCAUCCGAAGAUGACAUUUCCCCAUUAGGGACGUGGUAGAUAAUCACGUUGAUAGGUCGCAAGUGGAAGCACGGCAACGUGUUCAGCUAAGCGAUACUAAUUUCCCAAUUGGCUUGAUCUC
rnacentral:rRNA from 1 species